rnacentral:sRNA from 2 species
AGAUCACGCCUUUCAGGCAUCCUCUCCUAAAACCUUAUAUGGCCGGUUUCGUACCGGCCUUUUUUUUCGUCCGC